CGACCGGCGCACGGGUGAGUAACGCGUAUGCAACUUACCUAUCAGGAGGGGGAUAACCCGGCGAAAGUCGGACUAAUACCGCAUGAAGCAGGGGCCCCGCAUGGGGGAUAUUUGCUAAAGAUUCAUCGCUGAUAGAUAGGCAUGCGUUCCAUUAGGCAGUUGGCGGGGUAACGGCCCACCAAACCGACGAUGGAUAGGGGUUCUGAGAGGAAGGUCCCCCACAUUGGUACUGAGACACGGACCAAACUCCUACGGAAGGCAGCAG
rnacentral:rRNA from 1 species